GACGAACGCUGGCGGCGUGCUUAACACAUGCAAGUCGAGCGGAAAGGCCCUUCGGGGUACUCGAGCGGCGGACGGGUGAGUAACACGCGAGUAAUCUGCCCCAGGCUCUGGGAUAGCCACCGGAAACGGUGAUUAAUACCGGAUACGACAACCGAUUGCGUGAUCUGGUUGUGGAAAGUUUUUCGGCCUGGGAUGUGCUCGCGGCCUAUCAGCUUGUUGGUGAGGUAAUGGCUCACCAAGGCUUCGACGGGUAGCCGGCCUGAGAGGGUGACCGGCCACACUGGGACUGAGACACGGCCCAGACUCCUACGGGAGGCAGCAGUGGGGAAUGUUGGACAAUGGGCGGAAGCCUGAUCCAGCAACGCCGCGUGAGGGAUGACGGCCUUCGGGUUGUAAACCUCUUUCAGCACAGACGAAGCGCAAGUGACGGUAUGUGCAGAAGAAGGACCGGCCAACUACGUGCCAGCCGCCGCAGUAAGAC
rnacentral:rRNA from 1 species